GCCCUAGUAGCUUAAACAUAAAGCGCCGGUCUUGUAAUCCGGAAACUGAAGGUUAAAAUCCUCCCUAGUGCC
rnacentral:tRNA from 1 species